rnacentral:rRNA from 1 species
CCGUGAGACAGGUGCUGCAUGGCUGUCGUCAGCUCGUGUUGUGAAAUGUUGGGUUAAGUCCCGCAACGAGCGCAACCCUUAUCCUUUGUUGCCAGCGGUCCGGCCGGGAACUCAAAGGAGACUGCCAGUGAUAAACUGGAGGAAGGUGGGGAUGACGUCAAGUCAUCAUGGCCCUUACGACCAGGGCUACACACGUGCUACAAUGGCGCAUACAAAGAGAAGCGACCUCGCGAGAGCAAGCGGACCUCAUAAAGUGCGUCGUAGUCCGGAUUGGAGUCUGCAACUCGACUCCAUGGAGUCGGAAUCGCUAGUAAUCGUGGAUCAGAAUGCCACGGUGAAUACGUUCCCGGGCCUUGUACACACCGCCCGUCACACCAUGGGAGUGGGUUGCAAAAGAAGUAGGUAGCUUAACCUUCGGGAGGGCGCUUACCACUUUGUGAUUCAUGACUGGGGUGAAGUCGUAACAAGGUAACCGUAGGGGAACCUGCGGCUGGAUCACCUC